UCCUGACCUCGUGAUCCACCCACCUCAACCUCCCAAAGUGCUGGGAUAACAGGCGUGAGCCACGGUGCCUGGCCAUUUCCUUAAGCCAAUUUUAUGCUACUUUUAUCUAAAAUGUUUACUUCCAAGAAGGACAUGCCCCAUAUGGCACCCUGUUUUAGAUUUGCAGAAUUUUUGUUUUUCUCUAGAGAACUUAAAUUGCCUUUUUUUUUUAAGAUUUAAAAAUCUAUACAUAGAAAUUUUCAUUUUAUUGCUAGUAAUGUCAAAUGUGAAGCAAUGUAGGAUACUUCCAAGUAUUUUUGUACCCUUUUGGGUCUUUUUUGAUUGCCUGCUUUUGAGCAUGUAAAGGAUUUUUAGCCAAUUUGUAAAUGAGAUGUGAAUCUUAUGGAUAGCAUUUUAAUAACUGCUAGAUUCAAUGAUUUACAUCUCCACAUAUACAUGCAUACAUACAUACAUGCCUGUCCAAUUGUGUAUUCUAACGUUGCUUUCUUGGGGAGGAGGAGAUUCUAAUUUUUGUGCAGUCUGGUUAUGGAUCUUUUUUAAAAAAAAUUAAGUAUAGAAUAGCUAUUCAUCAUAAAUAAAUCAGAAUUAUGAGCAAUUAGAUCUUGGCAAAAAUUCUUGCUUGCCAAAUUCCAUUGCCUGGGACACACAGCUGGGUACACUUGGUGAAAAUCAACUUUUGCCAUUCCUAGGCUUGGCCUGUAAAACCCUCACCCAGUCCUGUGUGCUUUCUCCAUCUGGCUGAAUGCACAGAAUGGUCUCUAGAAGACAGCAGAGUCACAGAGUGGAGCCUGGGUUCCUCCAUCACCACUUAGAAGACAAUAUUGCUAUAUGAGAAAUUUUUGUUGUAUUAAGGCAUUGAGACUUGGGGAUUUAUCUGUUAUAGCUGCUAGUGUUACUCUAAUAGAAAUAUAGAUGUCCUCAAAUCUAAUAAUAAAAAGGCACUUGUUUAUCUAGUAGGUAUACUGAGUGAUGGUGUUUUCCUCUUUUUUUGAAAAAUAGGGGUCUCACUACAUUGCCCACGCUGGUCUCAAACUUCUGGGCUCAAGUGAUCCUCCCACCUUGGCCUUCCCUUUGUUGGGAUUGCAGGCAUGAGCCACCGCGUCCAGGCAAGUAAUGGUGUUUUAAACAGACUCUGGAGCCAGACUACCUGAGUUCAAAUCUCAACUUCAGCUCCUCCCAGCUGUAUAACCGGGACAGAAUUCUACUGUAUGACUAUGCCAUCACUAAUCCAUCCUCCCAUUGAUGGACACCAAGGCUGUUUCCAAUUUGUUUAGGGUUUUUUUUGCUACUGAAAAUAAAAGCUACUAUGAAUAUUCUUGUACAAA